AGUGGAUACGUACUAUAAAAGACCGUCCAGUUGUUGUUGAAUUAGUCUCAUCGUUUCUGUACAGUGUAUACAAUCGAACAACAAAAAUGAAAACCUUCGCUUUAUUUUUCAUUUUCGCCCUAAUUUGUGCGACCACUUUCGCCAAAUACUACCAACCCAACAUCUUCGCGGGACACCAGCGUGUCCUGGACCAGCGAACCGAACCUGCUGACAUUUUCAAAGCCCUAGGCGACUUCUUUAACAAAUUGAGCAGCGCGAAUUCAGGCUAGAAGAGACCAACGAUAAAUAAUUUCAGAAGAAAAGCUCCUGUCAUUUGUCCACCUACUAUCACGGAAGUAAUAGCGUAUCAUAACCAUAUUCAAAAGAAAUAAAUUUCAUCCCUGUCAGUUUGAUUAA